rnacentral:rRNA from 1 species
UGUGCCUACGGGAGGCAGCAGUGAGGAAUAUUGGUCAAUGGGCGGGAGCCUGAACCAGCCAAGUCGCGUGAGGGAAGACGGUCCUAUGGAUUGUAAACCUCUUUAGGCGGGGAGCAAUGCCGGGCACGCGUGCCCGGAGGGAGAGUACCCGCAGAAUAAGCAUCGGCUAACUCCGUGCCAGCAGCCGCGGUAAUACGGAGGAUGCGAGCGUUAUCCGGAUUUAUUGGGUUUAAAGGGUGCGUAGGCGGCCUGUUAAGUUAGUGGUUAAA